AUCUGACUGGCUUAAUGGUAAAGCAGGAUAUUCCUAAUAUUUGUAUUAAAGUUCGAAUCUUUAGUCAGAUU